AAGCGAAACCCUGUUUCAUUACAGGGUCUACCCAAUGUGGUUAUUGGGUACUGAUGAGCAGCCUUUG
rnacentral:hammerhead_ribozyme from 2 species